rnacentral:tRNA from 1 species
CGGGCCAUAGCGCAGCUUGGUAGCGCGCCUGCUUUGGGAGCAGGAUGUCGCGGGUUCGAAUCCCGCUGGCCCGACCC